AGUGGCGAACGGGUGAGUAACACGUAGGGAACCUGCCCGUGCACCGGGAAUACGCUCUGGAAACGGAGAACAAAUCCCGACGUACAGGAAGGAGGCAUCUUCUUUCUGUGAAACAUCCUUUAGGGGAUGGGGCGCGGAUGGACCUGCGGUGCAUUAGUUGGUUGGCGGGGUAAAGGCCCACCAAGACGAUGAUGCAUAGCCGGCCUGAGAGGGCGGACGGCCACAUUGGGACUGAGACACGGCCCAGACUCCUGCGGGAGGCAGCAGUAGGGAAUUUUCGUCAAUGGGCGCAAGCCUGAACGAGCGAUGCCGCGUGAGUGAAGAAGGCCUUCGGGUCGUAAAGCUCUGUUGCGGGGGAAAAAAGGCAGCAUCAGGAAAUGGGUGCUGACUGAUGGUGCCCCGCCAGAAAGUCACGGCUAACUACGUGCCAGCAGCCGCGGUAAUACGUAGGUGGCGAGCGUUAUCCGGAAUGAUUGGGCGUAAAGGGUGCGCAGGCGGUCCUGCAAGUCUGGAGUGAAACGCAUGAGCUCAACUCAUGCAUGGCUUUGGAAACUGGAGGACUGGAGAGCAGGAGAGGGCGGUGGAACUCCAUGUGUAGCGGUAAAAUGCGUAGAUAUAUGGAAGAACACCAGUGGCGAAGGCGGCCGCCUGGCCUGUUGCUGACGCUGAGGCACGAAAGCGUGGGGAGCAAAUAGGAUUAGAUACCCUAGUAGUCCACGCCGUAAACGAUGAGGACCA
rnacentral:rRNA from 1 species